CGGCCCUCUGCUUGGGCGGCAGUUCCGGGCAUGGCCGGCCUGUCAGACGCGGAGCUCGGCAGGGAGCUGCGGGCCUUGGGCUUCCAGCCGGGGCCCAUCACCGACUCCACCCGCGAGCUCUACGUGAAGAAGCUGGGCCGCCUGCGGGCGGAGGAGGCGCCUAGGCCCCAGUCGGGGAAGACAGCAGCCCCCAGUAUGGCCGGCCUGUCCGACGCCGAGCUCGGCAGGGAGCUGCGGGCCUUGGGCUUCCAGCCGGGGCCCAUCACCGACUCCACCCGCGAGCUCUACGUGAAGAAACUGAGGCGCCUGCGGGCGGAGGGGGCGGCCGGGCGGAGGAGCCAGAGCACGGGCAGCGCCUCCAGGCCUGAGCCGGCCUCGGCCUCCCACCCUCGCCGCAACCCCAGCCCCCAGGCACACAGCGCCCACAGCCAGGGCCGUAGGGAGAGUGAGGAGGAGGAAGAGGAGGAGGGCUCGGAGGAGGAAGAAGAUGAUGGAUACCAGCCCCCCCGCAGGGAUGUAGCAGAGGAGCUAAACCCUUGGGCCCAGUUGGGGAAGACAGCAGCCCCUGGGGGGCUUGCCCCCAGCACUCAGUGGGGGGCAGAAAGGGGGUUCAACCCCAGCUCCCAGUGUGGGACCAGAGAUGUCAGGUUAGCCCCCAGGCCCCACUGGGAGGCAGAAAGGGAGUUAGCCCCCAGGCCCCACUGGGAGGCAGAAAGAGAGAUAACCCCCAGGCCCCACUGGGAGGCAGAAAGAGAGAUAACCCCCAGGCCCCACUGGGAGGCAGAAAGAGAGAUAACCCCCAGGCCCCACUGGGAGGCAGAAAGAGAGAUAACCCCCAGGCCCCACUGGGAGGCAGAAAGAGAGAUAACCCCCAGCACCCAGGGGAGGACGAGGGAUGUGGGGUUAACCCCCAGCACCCAGGGGAGGACGAGGGAUGUGGGGUUAACCCCCAGCACCCAGGGGAGGACGAGGGAUGUGGGGUUAACCCCCAGCACCCAGGGAAGGACGAGGGAUUUUGGGUUAACCCCCACCACACAGUGGGGGACGAGGGAUUUUGGGUUAACCCCCACCACGCAGUGGGGGACGAGGGAUGUGGGAUUAACCCCCAGCACCCAGCGAGGGACGAGGGAUGUGGGGUUAACCCCCAGCACCCAGCGAGGGACGAGGGAUGUGGGGUUAACCCCCAGCACCCAGCGAGGGACGAGGGAUGUGGGGUUAACCCCCAGCGCCCAGCGAGGGACGAGGGAUGUGGGGUUAACCCCCAGCGCCCAGUGGAGGACGAGAGAUGUUGGUUUAACCCCCAGCACCCAAUGGGAGACAGAAAGGAGGCUAACCCCCAGCACCCAAAGUGGGACAAGAGAUGGGGGGUUAACCCCCAGCACCCAGGGGGGGACAGCAACAGUAGUAGGGGGAUUAAUCCGCAGGAUCCCGUGGAGGACAGGGGGAGAAAGGUUAACCUCCACGAGUCAGUUGACAGGGGCAGCCCCCAAGCAGGGGGCAGUAGGAAAGGCUAAGGGUCUGGAGUUCUACCUGUCCUGGUUCCUGUACCUGGCCACCCUGGUGUUGUUAGUGAUUUUCCUAGGCAUCCUCUGGGUGAAGAUGAUCGGGCCAGGCUGGCUUCUGGGGGCAGAGGAGAACCUUAAACUGUUAACUGUGGAUUGUGAGACAAGGACAGAUGAUUUCUGUCAAGCUAAACAGAAGGACAUUUUAAUGACCAUGCUGUAUGAAUUAUAUAACUACCUGGCAAUACAAGCUGGUAGUUUUGAGUGUGGAAACCCUGAGAAGCUAAAAAGUAAAUGCAUUCUGGUUAGUGAAGCAAAGGAUCAUGUGGCGAAUGUAACCGGCGGUUCCCCAGAGAAGUUUGAAGAUGCCCUGCAAUGGAUACUGAACAGUAACAAUGAUUUAGGGAUAUGGUUAAAAGGGGAAGACCCAUCAGAACCGGUUACCAGUGUAGACCAGGUGGUGUGCCUCGAAUCCACCCGUCCUCGGAUGGGGUUAGGCUGUCGUUUCCGCCGGGCAGUAAGCACCGCCAUUAUGAACCUUUUCAUCUUCUUCUGGAGUCUAAUUGCCCUCUGGGGGAUCCUGUUACUCCUGAAGUAUCGCUGGCGGAAGAUGGAAGAAGAGGAGCAGGCCAUGUAUGAAAUGGUGAAGAAAAUCAUAGAUGCUGUCCAGGAUCACUACAAAGAGUGGGAACAGAGGUUGGAGCGAUACCCAUAUGUAGGCAUCCUUCACGUUCGAGACACCCUCAUUCCACCCCAAAGCAGGAAAAAAAUGAAGCGGGUCUGGAACAGAGCUGUGGACUUCCUGGCUUCGAACGAAUCACGGAUUCAGACAGAGUCACACAGGAUAGCAGGAGAGGAUAUGCUGGUGUGGAGAUGGACUCAGCCCUUUUACAUCUCUGAUUCAGAGCACUAACCAGGAGCAAAGGAGGAGCCGUUGGUUCAGUCUGUGCAAAGGGACAAUUCCCUCUCUGGAUGUGGGAAGAGAUGGACAGGAGUUCUAAAUUUCUCAGUUUAGAAUUACCCCGACCCCCUUUCCCUCUGUUUCUGAGAGACACUUAACAGAUUAUUUUUUGGGCAAUAAUCUUGGCUUGUGAGAAGAUGGACUUGAGCUAGAGAAGGAGCCAGAAGCACACCAAAGCUAGCUGUCCAUAGUCAAGGUCCAAGAUCCAGGUGUGCUAGGCGCUGUACAAACAGAACAAAAAGACGGUCCCUGCCCCAAAGAGCCUACUGUCUAAGUAUAAGACGAGCCAACAGGCAAGCGCAAGGAACCAGUGAGACGCUACUGGUCAGCAUGAUAAUCAGUUGUCUUAGCACACCAGGAGCCUAGCUGUUGUCAGGUUCUUGGUAGGCAGGACUGAUUUCUGUGGGGAAAUGAUGAUGAUAUCCAUGGAAGGUGUAGACUGAGAAGGAUUAAUCCUAUGUGGACACUUGUGUAAAGGGGUUGACAGCUUUAUGUUUAAUGAAAUAUUACCAACAUUAACUUCUAACAGCCGAUUGACCAACACUUGGCCACAUCAUCAGUGGUUAAAGCUGCAGAUGUGGGAGCAAGGAGAUAGGUAAUAUGUUUAAAAGUGAUUAUUGAUUUUGGGUGCCAUGCAUUAGGGUGUCAUGUACCCACUCUCUGAAAGCCAGGUCCCUUUAAGGCAGCUCAGGUUGGGCAGCCAUAAUCAUUGGUCACUUCUGAAAAUCGUGGUCCCAGGUUCUAUUCCAACCUGUCACUGACUCACGGUGAUGCCUUGGACAAGUCACUUGACUUCUACUCUUAAUUGAGAGACAGGAUGACACCUGCCUGACCAAAGUGCCAUGAGAUCUUCAGAUGAAAAGUGCUAUUUAAAUGCCAAGAACUAUUGUAGGAAAAACUGGGAAGCGAGUGUGUUGCUUAGUGGAUAGCAUACUGGACUGGGACUCAGGAGAUCUGAAUUCUGUUCCCACCGCUGGCCUGCUGAGAGACCAUGGGCAAGUCACUUCCCUCUCUGCACCUCUGUUUCUCCAUUUUACAGAUGGGCUAAUGAUACUGACCUCCUUUGUAAAGCAGUUUGAGACCUACUGUUGAAAUGGCUGUAUGAGUGGUAGAUAGUACUAUUUUCUUUACCCUCGUGUGUCUGAUGUAGAAGACUCAUGUCAUGGUAGCACUUCUGCCAAGGACAGCAGAGAGAAAAUAGCCAGGACAGGGGUGAAGGGAAAAGGUCAGAAAAUCCCAGCCUACCUCCUAGAUAACUGAGAGGCCAUCCUUAAAAAGAGUCUGCCAGGUAGAAAUAGUUUCUAAAUCUUGCAAGAACACUAGCAAGCCUGAAUUAAUCCUUCUAAGUUCCUGCUAGUAUCCAUCCAUCUAAGUAUUUCUAAUGCAUCUCUGUUAGCUGAGUGCCUGUGGGUCAGCAUGACUGUGCAUCACAAGCUGAGGGUGGGUUUAACUUGUAGCUUUCACAAGCAGGCUCUUGAAACGAGCAGAGUUUGAAUCAUCAACACUUAACGUCUAUGGCCGCAGCUGACUCAUAGGCUCUGGGUUGGUGAGAUAUGUUUGUUUAUCUCAUAAUGUAUGUCUUGGUGACAAAGAGGCAGAUCUUCAAUGGCAUAAAAGAGAAUUAGCUGCCCAUCUCCCAUUGAAAGCUGACAGGAAUUGGGUACCUAACUCCUUUUGCUGUUUUGGAAAAUAUUCUCUGAAGUGCCUCUCUUGUUGUUGCUGGGUAUGUGAACAGAAAGGGGUAGAAAGAGGAGUGGUGCUUAAUGAAAGGUUAAACCUCCCUCCUCCAAGACUGCAUUCCUGUUUAGAUGCUAGUGCCCAGCACAGGUUGCUAAGUUACAGCUGGGAUAGAUGCAGGGUUAGGAAAUAGUCUGGGGGUUUGGUGUACCUAGGUGUGCAGUCUGUCUGCCUGCUUCAAACCCGAACUGCCAAGAACUCCCCCGUAAUGAUCCCUUGGAGAAUGGGCAUGGGGAAGCUUUGGGUAAUAAGAACUUUUUGAAAAUGAAGAGGGCUUUAACCCUAUAUAACUAAUUUACGGCUGUCCUUCCUGUCUGUCUCCAUUAGGAACCCUAGUUCCUGCUUGCUCUGUAAAACUGUACUGACAAUUCAGAACAGCUGUACAGCACUUUUUAUAGAUCCCAAAGUGCUUAUACAAAAGGUGAAGAAUAGUCCCCAUUUUCCAUAUGGUCAUUCAGCCACUUGAUCAAUCUCAUCUGUUCAGUGCUUUCCUUACCACUUGUACUGACUUUAUCGUUUUUAAAGUCUCCCCCACUCUCUGUAAGCAUUAAGACUCUGUGAAUAAAUCCUCAAACGGUGGGCUGAUAAAGCCUUCACAUCCCCUUGUUGUCAAAAAAAAAAAAAUGUACCAGCAAGGAAACUAAAAUAAAAUUUGCCCUUUAU